rnacentral:rRNA from 1 species
UUAAGCGACUAAGCGUACACGGUGGAUGCCCUGGCAGUCAGAGGCGAUGAAGGACGUGCUAAUCUGCGAAAAGCGUCGGUAAGGUGAUAUGAACCGUUAUAACCGGCGAUGUCCGAAUGGGGAAACCCAGUGCAAUUCGUUGCACUAUCGUUAACUGAAUACAUAGGUUAACGAGGCGAACCGGGGGAACUGAAACAUCUAAGUACCCCGAGGAAAAGAAAUCAACCGAGAUUCCCCCAGUAGCGGCGAGCGAACGGGGAGCAGCCCAGAGUCUGAAUCAGCUUGUGUGUUAGUGGAACGGUCUGGAAAGUCCGACGGUACAGGGUGAUAGUCCCGUACACCAAAAUGCACAGGCUGUGAACUCGAAGAGUAGGGCGGGACACGUGGUAUCCUGUCUGAAUAUGGGGGGACCAUCCUCCAAGGCUAAAUACUCCUGACUGACCGAUAGUGAACCAGUACCGUGAGGGAAAGGCGAAAAGAACCCCGGCGAGGGGAGUGAAAAAGAACCUGAAACCGUGUACGUACAAGCAGUGGGAGCACCUUCGGGUGUGACUGCGUACCUUUUGUAUAAUGGGUCAGCGACUUAUAUUCUGUAGCAAGGUUAACCGUAUAGGGGAGCCGCAGGGAAACCGAGUCUUAACUGGGCGUUAAGUUGCAGGGUAUAGACCCGAAACCCGGUGAUCUAGCCAUGGGCAGGUUGAAGGUUGGGUAACACUAACUGGAGGACCGAACCGACUAAUGUUGAAAAAUUAGCGGAUGACUUGUGGCUGGGGGUGAAAGGCCAAUCAAACCGGGAGAUAGCUGGUUCUCCCCGAAAGCUAUUUAGGUAGCGCCUCGUGAACUCAUCUUCGGGGGUAGAGCACUGUUUCGGCUAGGGGGUCAUCCCGACUUACCAACCCGAUGCAAACUACGAAUACCGAAGAAUGUUAUCACGGGAGACACACGGCGGGUGCUAACGUCCGUCGUGAAGAGGGAAACAACCCAGACCGCCAGCUAAGGUCCCAAAGUCAUGGUUAAGUGGGAAACGAUGUGGGAAGGCACAGACAGCCAGGAUGUUGGCUUAGAAGCAGCCAUCAUUUAAAGAAAGCGUAAUAGCUCACUGGUCGAGUCGGCCUGCGCGGAAGAUGUAACGGGGCUAAACCAUGCACCGAAGCUGCGGCAGCGACACUAUGUGUUGUUGGGUAGGGGAGCGUUCUGUAAGCCUGCGAAGGUGUGCUGUGAGGCAUGCUGGAGGUAUCAGAAGUGCGAAUGCUGACAUAAGUAACGAUAAAGCGGGUGAAAAGCCCGCUCGCCGGAAGACCAAGGGUUCCUGUCCAACGUUAAUCGGGGCAGGGUGAGUCGACCCCUAAGGCGAGGCCGAAAGGCGUAGUCGAUGGGAAACAGGUUAAUAUUCCUGUACUUGGUGUUACUGCGAAGGGGGGACGGAGAAGGCUAUGUUAGCCGGGCGACGGUUGUCCCGGUUUAAGCAUGUAGGCUGGUUGUCCAGGCAAAUCCGGAUAAUCAAGGCUGAGGUGUGAUGACGAGGUACUACGGUGCUGAAGUAACAAAUGCCCUGCUUCCAGGAAAAGCCUCUAAGCAUCAGGUAACAUUAAAUCGUACCCCAAACCGACACAGGUGGUCAGGUAGAGAAUACCAAGGCGCUUGAGAGAACUCGGGUGAAGGAACUAGGCAAAAUGGUGCCGUAACUUCGGGAGAAGGCACGCUGGUGUGUAGGUGAAGUCCCUGCGGAUGGAGCUGAGACCAGUCGAAGAUACCAGCUGGCUGCAACUGUUUAUUAAAAACACAGCACUGUGCAAACACGAAAGUGGACGUAUACGGUGUGACGCCUGCCCGGUGCCGGAAGGUUAAUUGAUGGGGUUAUCCGUAAGGAGAAGCUCUUGAUCGAAGCCCCGGUAAACGGCGGCCGUAACUAUAACGGUCCUAAGGUAGCGAAAUUCCUUGUCGGGUAAGUUCCGACCUGCACGAAUGGCGUAAUGAUGGCCAGGCUGUCUCCACCCGAGACUCAGUGAAAUUGAACUCGCUGUGAAGAUGCAGUGUACCCGCGGCAAGACGGAAAGACCCCGUGAACCUUUACUAUAGCUUGACACUGAACAUUGAGCCUUGAUGUGUAGGAUAGGUGGGAGGCUUUGAAGCGUGGACGCCAGUCUGCGUGGAGCCAACCUUGAAAUACCACCCUUUAAUGUUUGAUGUUCUAACGUUGGCCCCUUACCGGGGUUGCGGACAGUGUCUGGUGGGUAGUUUGACUGGGGCGGUCUCCUCCCAAAGCGUAACGGAGGAGCACGAAGGUUAGCUAAUCCUGGUCGGACAUCAGGAGGUUAGUGCAAUGGCAUAAGCUAGCUUGACUGCGAGCGUGACGGCGCGAGCAGGUGCGAAAGCAGGUCAUAGUGAUCCGGUGGUUCUGAAUGGAAGGGCCAUCGCUCAACGGAUAAAAGGUACUCCGGGGAUAACAGGCUGAUACCGCCCAAGAGUUCAUAUCGACGGCGGUGUUUGGCACCUCGAUGUCGGCUCAUCACAUCCUGGGGCUGAAGUAGGUCCCAAGGGUAUGGCUGUUCGCCAUUUAAAGUGGUACGCGAGCUGGGUUUAGAACGUCGUGAGACAGUUCGGUCCCUAUCUGCCGUGGGCGCUGGAGAAUUGAGGGGGGCUGCUCCUAGUACGAGAGGACCGGAGUGGACGCAUCACUGGUGUUCGGGUUGUCAUGCCAAUGGCACUGCCCGGUAGCUAAAUGCGGAAGAGAUAAGUGCUGAAAGCAUCUAAGCACGAAACUUGCCCCGAGAUGAGUUCUCCCUGAGACUUUAAGUCUCCUGAAGGAACGUUAAAGACGAUGACGUUGAUAGGCCGGGUGUGUAAGCGCAGCGAUGCGUUGAGCUAACCGGUACUAAUGAACCGUGAGGCUUAACCUU